GACGAACGCUGGCGGCGUGCCUAAUACAUGCAAGUAGAACGCUGAAGGAGGAGCUUGCUUCUCUGGAUGAGUUGCGAACGGGUGAGUAACGCGUAGGUAACCUGCCUGGUAGCGGGGGAUAACUAUUGGAAACGAUAGCUAAUACCGCAUAAGAGUAGAUGUCGCAUGACAUUUGCUUAAAAGGUGCAAUUGCAUCACUACCAGAUGGACCUGCGUUGUAUUAGCUAGUUGGUGAGGUAACGGCUCACCAAGGCAACGAUACAUAGCCGACCUGAGAGGGGCGACGGCCGAGCUGGAACUUGGAAACAGCCCGGACUCCUUCGGGAGGCAGCAGUAGGGGAUCGUGAGCGAGGGACGGAAGACCGACCGAGCGACGCCGGGUAAGUGAAGAAGGUGUUCGGAUCGUAAGGCUCGGUUGGAAGAGAAGAACGAGAGUGGGAGUAGAAAACUCACGCUGUGACGGUAACUGACCAGAAAGGGACGGCGAACUACGUG
rnacentral:rRNA from 1 species